CCAAAGGACCUCCAAACUCCAGUCAGUAAACGCAGACGUCUGAUAAACAAGUUAAUAAACUAAAACUUUCAACAACGGAUCUCUUGGUUCUGGCAUCGAUGAAGAACGCAGCGAAAUGCGAUAAGUAAUGUGAAAUUGCAGAAUUCAGUGAAUCAUUGAAUCUUUGAACGCACAUUGCGCCCCCUGGUAUUCCGGGGGGCAUGCCUGUUCGAGCGUCAUUACAACCCUCAAGCUCUGCUUGGAAUUGGGCACCGUCCUCACUGCGGACGCGCCUCAAAGACCUCGGCGGUGGCUGUUCAGCCCUCAAGCGUAGUAGAAUACACCUCGCUUUGGAGUGGUUGGCGUCGCCCGCCGGACGAACCUUCUGAACUUUCUCAAGGUGACCUCGGAUCAGGUAG
rnacentral:rRNA from 1 species